rnacentral:rRNA from 1 species
CCACACCUAAAAAACACUUUUCCACGUGAACCGUAUCACCCCUUUUAAUUGGGGAUUUGCUCGGUGUGCGGCUAGCUGGCCUUUAUUGGCUGGCAGGCUGCGUGCUAGGCGAGUCCUAUCAUGGCAAACGUUUGGGCUUCGGCUUGAGCUAGUAGCUUUUUUUUUAAACCAUUUCUUUAAUACUGAUUAUACUGUGGGGACGAAAGUCUCUGCUUUUAACUAGAUAGCAACUUUCAGCAGUGGAUGUCUAGGCUCGCACAUCGAUGAAGAACGCUGCGAACUGCGAUACGUAAUGCGAAUUGCAGGAUUCAGUGAGUCAUCGAAAUUUUGAACGCAUAUUGCACUUCCGGGUUAGUCCUGGAAGUAUGCCUGUAUCAGUGUCCGUACAUCAAAAUUGGCUUUCUUCCUUCCGUGUAGUCGGUGGAGGAUGUGCCAGAAUGUGAAGUGUCUUGCGGCUGGCCUUCGGGUUGACUGCGAGUCCUUUUAAAUGUACUGAACUGUAUUCCUCUUUGCUCGAAAAGUAAGGCGUUGCUUGUUGUGGAGGCUGCCCGUGUGGCCAGUCGGCGACUGGUUUGUCUGCUGCGGUGUUUUACUGGAGGAGUGUUCGAUUCGCGGUAUGGUUGGCUUCGGCUGAACAGACGCUUAUUGGGUGUUUUUCCUGCUGUGGCGUGAUGGACUGGUGAACCGUAGCUAUGUAGGCUUGGCUUUUGAACCGGUGAUACUAUUGCGAAGUAGAGUGGCGGCUUCGGCUGCCGAGGGGUCGAUCCAUUUUGGGAACUUCAUGUGUGUACUUCGGUGCGCAUCUCAA